UGGGGAAUAUUGCGCAAUGGGGGGAACCCUGACGCAGCCAUGCCGCGUGAAUGAAGAAGGCCUUAGGGUUGUAAAGUUCUUUCGGUAUUGAGGAAGGUUGAUGUGUUAAUAGCACAUCAAAUUGACGUUAAAUACAGAAGAAGCACCGGCUAACUCCGUGCCAGCAGCCGCGGUAAUACGGAGGGUGCGAGCGUUAAUCGGAAUAACUGGGCGUAAAGGGCACGCAGGCGGUUAUUUAAGUGAGGUGUGAAAGCCCCGGGCUUAACCUGGGAAUCGCAUUUCAGACUGGGUAACUAGAGUACUUUAGGGAGGGGUAGAAUUCCACAUGUAGCGGUGAAAUGCGUAGAGAUGUGGAGGAAUACCGAAGGCGAAGGCAGCCCCUUGGGAAUGUACUGACGCUCAUGUGCGAAAGCGUGGGGAGCAAACAGGGAUUAGAUACCCUGGUAGUCCACGCUGUAAACGCUGUCGAUUUGGGGGUUGGGGUUUAACUCUGGCGCCCGUAGCUAACGUGAUAAAUCGACCGCCUGGGGAGUACGGCCGCAAGGUUA
rnacentral:rRNA from 1 species